AACGAACGCUGGCGGCGUGCCUAACACAUGCAAGUCGAACGCGAAAGGGAGCAAUCCCCGGUAGCGUGGCAGACGGGUGAGUAACACGUGGGUAACCUACCCGGAGGUGGGGGAUAACCCUUCGAAAGGAGGGCUAAUACCGCAUGACACCGUGGGGACCUCGGUCCUUGCGAUCAAAGCUGGCCUCUGUUUACAAGCUAGCGCCACCGGAUGGGCCCGCGCCCCAUUAGCUAGUUGGUGAGGUAACGGCUCACCAAGGCGACGAUGGGUAGCCGGCCUGAGAGGGCGAUCGGCCACACUGGAACUGCGACACGGUCCAGACUCCUACGGGAGGCAGCAGUGAGGAAUCUUGCGCAAUGGGCGAAAGCCUGACGCAGCGACGCCGCGUGGAGGAUGAAGGUCUUCGGAUUGUAAACUCCUGUCGAGUGGGACGAAUGCCGUGAGGGUGAACAAUCCUCGCGGUUGACGGUACCGCUGGAGGAAGCCCCGGCUAACUCCGUGCCAGCAGCCGCGGUAAUACGGAGGGGGCUAGCGUUGUUCGGAAUCAUUGGGCGUAAAGGGCGCGUAGGCGGCCGAUCAAGUCGGAGGUGAAAUCCCUCGGCUCAACUGAGGAAUUGCCUUCGAUACUGUUCGGCUUGAGUCCUGGAGAGGGUAGCGGAAUUCCCGGUGUAGCGGUGAAAUGCGUAGAGACCGGGAAGAACACCAGUGGCGAAGGCGGCUACCUGGACAGGUACUGACGCUGAAGCGCGAAAGCUAGGGGAGCAAACAGGAUUAGAUACCCUGGUAGUCCUAGCUGUAAACGAUGGGCACUUGGUGUUGCGGGUAUCGACCCCUGCAGUGCCGAAGCUAACGCAUUAAGUGCCCCGCCUGGGGAGUACGGUCGCAAGGCUG
rnacentral:rRNA from 1 species